rnacentral:sRNA from 1 species
AGGACUUGGGGAUAGGUACGCUGUUCGC